UGAGCAAUCUGCCCUUAGCUCUGGGAUAACCCCGGGAAACCGGGGCUAAUACCGGAUACGAGUCCGAGCGGCAUCACACGGACUGGAAAGUUUUUCGGCUAAGGAUGGGCUCGCGGCCUAUCAGCUUGUUGGUGGGGUAAUGGCCCACCAAGGCGACGACGGGUAGCCGGCCUGAGAGGGCGACCGGCCACACUGGGACUGAGACACGGCCCAGACUCCUACGGGAGGCA
rnacentral:rRNA from 1 species